GGAAAAUUUGGAGUAGUUGGGGGAGAGGUAAAAGUUAAAGUAGGAUGGUCGAAAUGGUCUUUUUAGUGUGUAAAAGUCACAGCAAUUAUAAGUGUGUGUGUGUAGGAAAAGUUACCGAGGUGUGGUAAUUUCUUACUUUACAUUGUUUUUUCUUUUUUUCGUUUGUUUGUUGGGUAUGUGCUUUUAUGUUAAGUAGCGGUGGUGAAUUUAAAAGUUACCGCGGUUGAAAAGAGUGUAGGGGGAGGCUGAAGUGGCUG
rnacentral:misc_RNA from 1 species